rnacentral:rRNA from 1 species
UGGGGAAUUUUGGACAAUGGGCGCAAGCCUGAUCCAGCCAUGCCGCGUGCGGGAAGAAGGCCUUCGGGUUGUAAACCGCUUUUGUCAGGGAAGAAACGCUCUGGGCUAAUACCCUAGGGUAAUGACGGUACCUGAAGAAUAAGCACCGGCUAACUACGUGCCAGCAGCCGCGGUAAUACGUAGGGUGCAAGCGUUAAUCGGAAUUACUGGGCGUAAAGCGUGCGCAGGCGGUUAUGCAAGACAGAUGUGAAAUCCCCGGGCUCAACCUGGGAACUGCAUUUGUGACUGUAUAGCUAGAGUACGGUAGAGGGGGAUGGAAUUCCGCGUGUAGCAGUGAAAUGCGUAGAUAUGCGGAGGAACACCGAUGGCGAAGGCAAUCCCCUGGACCUGUACUGACGCUCAUGCACGAAAGCGUGGGGAGCAAACAGGAUUAGAUACCCCCGUAGUCCCUGAGCGGGCUGGCAAGGCGCAU